rnacentral:rRNA from 1 species
UACGUAGGGGGCAAGCGUUGUCCGGAAUCAUUGGGCGUAAAGCGCGCGUAGGCGGCUCGGAAAGUCGGUCGUGAAAUGCCGGGGCUCAACCCCGGGACUGCGUCCGAUACUUCCGGGCUGGAGGUAGGUAGGGGAGAUCGGAAUUCCUGGUGUAGCGGUGAAAUGCGUAGAUAUCGAGAGGAACACCUGCGGCGAAGGCGGGUUGCUGGGCUGACACUGACGCUGAAGCGCGAAAGCUAGGGGAGCGAACGGG